rnacentral:miRNA from 1 species
UUAAAGCAGGGGGUCUAGUAGU